AUGCAUGUUGCACCCCGGGCUUUUCUGAAAAAAUUACCAUGAAGAAAGAAGCCCCAAUGCUCGUGCUAAAUUGUGUCGUUCAGUGUUGCAGGUCAGCUUUGUUUUUUCCUACAGCUGAUCUGUGUCAAAGUAACGUCUACAUCU